GGAGCUGUUGAACUGUAUUAGUGUUUUAUGCCAGUGUUAUCACAAGUUGACACUAGGGGGAGCUAGUUGGCUGGACGACACUAAUCGGCCAGGCAAUACUCCCAGCAUUCCUUGGUUGUUGUGUCGUUCCAAGAGCGGUGGCUGCUCAUUAUUUUGGACAUGUUCCUGCUGUGUCAAACUGAGUUCAGACUGAAUGUUUAACAACAGUUGGCUUCGACCCUACUGUCCGGGACUGAGGGCACCGUCGUCAGAUUCAUUGGUCAGAUUUCUGGUAAGGAGUGGAUUUUUGGACAGUUCAGCAUCCAGCAGAACACCCAUCGAAGGAUUCGUCCAUCAGGAGACCAAGAUUCCAGUUAACUGGGUGGCGAGCCAACCCGUGGAAAAAUUGAGAGACCAAGAGGAGGAGGAUCGCUUCUGCAGAAGAAUUACUGCGCUCAUGGUGCGGUAGGACAGAAAAAACACACACAUACACCUGGAUUGGGCCCCAGCGACCGAUCCUCUGACUAACACCAAAAAGACUGGACUCAGACACUUCUAUUUUUUUGUCAUUGUGCGCACUUUAUUAUUUUUUUUUUAUUGUACUGUUGUAAUGUUGUUGUGCAGCUAAUCUGCACUAAUUGUCCUUAUUACACCUAUUUUGGCAAAUCCAUUCUGUUUGUGUCUCCUUACUGAUGCUCAGACCUCAGGCUCCAAGCGCCCUAGCCUCUGAUGCUGGUCCAACUCUAAUAUAUUUAUGGUUUUGAUGCAAAAAAGUUGUUACACUCAGUUGUGUUGAGAUCAGGUGACUGACUUGGACAUUCAAGAAUAUUCCACUUCUUUGCUUUAAUAAAGUCCUGGGUUUCUUUGGC